AAUCAUCGUGAUAUUAUUACAGA
rnacentral:snRNA from 1 species